GGCAACACACCGAGUACAGCGGCGAACUGGUGAGUAACAGGUGGGUAACGCACCCCGAUGUGGGGGAUAACUCCGGGAAACCGGGGAUAAUACCGCAUAAGAUCCGAAGGACCCUGGUUCUUCGGGUUAAAGCAGUAGUGCGCUUCGGGAUCGGUCCGCCCCCGAUUAGCUUGUUGGUGGGGUAACGGCCUACCAAGGCUACGAUCUAUAGCUGGUCUGAGAGGAUGAUCAGCCACACUGGGACUGAGAUACGGCCCAGACUCCUACGGGGGGCAGCAGUCUAGAGGCUUCGGCAAUGGACGAAAGUCUGACCGAGCGACGCCGCGUGUGGGAUUGAAGGCCUUCGGGUCGUAAACCACUGUCAUUGGGGAAGAAUGCCCGCCUGGCGAAGGCGGGAGCGACGGUACCCAAGGAGAAAGCCCCGGCUAACUCCGUGCCAGCAGCCGCGGUAAUACGGAGGGGGCUAGCGUUGUUCGGAUUUACUGGGCGUAAAGGGUGUGUAGGCGGCCGCGCAAGUCUGGUGUGAAAACUUCACCGCUUAACGGGAAGACGUCACUGGAAACUGCGUGGCUUGAGCAGGGUAGAGGUAAGCGGAAUUCCCGGUGUAGCGGUGGAAUGUGUAGAUAUCAGGAAGAACAUCGGUGGCGAAGGCGGCUUACUGGGCCCUUGCUGACGCUGAGGCUCGAAAGCGUGGGGAGCGAACGGGAUUAGAUACCCCGGUAGUCCACGCUGUAAACGGUGCGCACUAGGUGUUGAGGGUAUCGACCCCCUCCGUGCCGCAGCUAACGCAUUAAGUGCGCCGCCUGGGGAGUACGGCCGCAAGGUUGAAACUCAAAGGAAUUGACGGGGGCCCGCACAAGCGGUGGAGGAUGUGGUUUAAUUCGAUGCAACGCGAAGAACCUUACCUGGGCUCAAACUUUUAGGUAAACCCCUGGAAACAGGGGCUGUGGCAACACGACCUAUUAGAGGUGCUGCAUGGCUGUCGUCAGCUCGUGUCGUGAGAUGUUGGGUUAAGUCCCGCAACGAGCGCAACCCUUGUCGUUAGACCAGCGCGUUAUGGCGGGGACUCUAGCGAGACUGCCGGUGGUAAACCGGAGGAAGGUGGGGAUGACGUCAAGUCCUCAUGGCCCUUAUGUCCAGGGCUACAAACGUCCUACAAUGGUCGGGACAACGGGCUGCCAACUCGCGAGAGUGCGCUAAUCCCUUAAACCCGGUCUCAGUUCGGAUUGCAGUCUGCAACUCGACUGCAUGAAGAUGGAAUCGCUAGUAAUCGCGGAUCAGCACGCCGCGGUGAAUACGUUCCCGGGCCUUGUACACACCGCCCGUCACACCACGAAAGUUGGUUGUUCCAGAAGUCGCUGUUGGAACCUCAAGGACCUAAGGGCCAA
rnacentral:rRNA from 1 species